CGCACCUUGCGCUCCUUGGUAUUCCGAGGAGCAUGCCUGUUUGAGUGUCAUGAAAUUAUCAACUCACUUUUCUUUGAGAAGUGAGCUUGGACUUGAGGACUGCUGGACGUGUUUCAGCUCCCUUUGAUUGCAUUAGCUGGACUUUGAUUUGCAGCAUAUAUGCGGUGUGAUAAUGUCGUCACUGUGUAGCUCAAGUCAGCUGGCUUCUAAUUGUCCUUUUACGGGACACUUGAUCAAUUUGACCUCAAAUCAGGUAGGACUACCCGCUGAACUUAA
rnacentral:misc_RNA from 1 species